GACAGAGGUGCCAAGCGUUAUGCGGAAUCACUGGGCUUAAAGCGUGUGUAGGCGGAAUUGUAAGUACCUUGUGAAAUCCCACGGCUCAACCGUGGAACUGCUCGGUAUACUGCUUUUCUUGAGCCACUUAGGGGCUACCGGAACAAAUGGUGGAGCGGUGAAAUGCGUAGAUAUCAUUUGGAACGCCAAUGGUGAAAACAGGUAGCUGGGAGUGUGCUGACGCUGAGACACGAAAGCCAGGGGAGCGAACGGG
rnacentral:rRNA from 1 species